UUCGUAGGGUGCAAGCGUUAAUCGGAAUUACUGGGCGUAAAGCGUGCGCAGGCGGUGAUGUAAGACAGGGGUGAAAUCCCCGGGCUUAACCUGGGAACUGCAUUUGUGACUGCAUCGCUGGAGUGCGGCAGAGGGGGAUGGAAUUCCGCGUGUAGCAGUGAAAUGCGUAGAUAUGCGGAGGAACACCGAUGGCGAAGGCAAUCCCCUGGGCCUGCACUGACGCUCAUGCACGAAAGCGUGGGGAGCAAACAGG
rnacentral:rRNA from 1 species